rnacentral:rRNA from 1 species
AACGUAGGGGGCGAGCGUUAUCCGGAUUCACUGGGCGUAAAGCGCGCGCAGGCGGCUUCUCAAGUCGGGCGUGAAAUCUCCCGGCUCAACCGGGAGGGGCCGCUCGAUACUGGGAGGCUUGAGGGCAGGAGAGGGAGGUGGAAUUCCCGGUGUAGCGGUGGAAUGCGCAGAUAUCGGGAGGAACACCAGUGGCGAAGGCGACCUCCUGGCCUGUCCCUGACGCUCAGGCGCGAAAGCUAGGGGAG